UUCAAUUUUAUCCUAUUGUUAUGUUCUAUUUUUAAUGCAUUUAUUUAUGAAUUAUUUAUUCCUAUAAAAAGGUAAGGAGGGAAAGAGAGCCAAGAAGAAUGAUAAACAUAAUUUAAAUGAUGAAUUGAUGUGUGACGUUUAGUUUUGUGCAUUUGAGGUGACUUAGUAAGAAAAAUAAGUGGUUCAAGGCUUCAAGCUAAAAGGAAAAUUUAAUGAAACCUAUAGAUAGUAUUUUCCUAUUUAGUGAAUUGUGAUUGCGCCUAUGGUAGGAUUUAAAACUGAACUUCUUGAACUUCACACCAAGUAACACACACAAAUCUGGUAGAUGAGAAAACAAUUCUCAGCCUUUUACAAAAGAAAACAGAAUGCACACCAGAAAGUAGAAACUGUGACAAAAUCUUCUUAUAACUACUCCACAGAAUUAAAUAACUGCUGAAUAACUUUCCUACCAUAAAAUUUCCCUAUUACAUAAUUAAAUAACCACUAUAAAACUUUUUUAUCACAUAACUGCCCGAUCACUAACUCUGACAUGCUAAUUUCUUAUUUCUCCUUGAGUGUAGAAGCCACAUUUUAGGCAUGUUCCAAAACCAGACCGACAUCUUGAUUUUAGAGUUUGUACUUGAACAUUACCACCUGCUGCAGCUAUACAAAACUACUCUUACAUAGAGAAUAUUACAAGCAUCAAACAUAUAGGGAACAAUAUAAAAAGAAGGGAGAACAUCAUAAAUCCUCAAAUUCAUAGCUGACUUUCAUCACAAUGCAUUCACAAUUGAGCCACAAUUACAUACAAAUUAGAGUAGUUCUUAGCUAACAAAUUAGAGUGGUACCUAAUCGAAUUCAAAACAACAUUGCAGAUUACUUAAUAGAAUUGAAAAUAACAUUCCUAAAUUAAAGUAUCAGUAGAAUUCAAAAAACAUUGCUUCAUCAAAUGGAAUCUUUGUCCCUAUUCAUCUUCACCACUCCCUUCCCCAUCUAGGAAGGGAAAUGGUUCAGCUUCAACUUCUGUUUCAACCAAUUCCAUAAACUCUCUAGGUAGCUCCCACCUGAACUCCACCUCCUUGUAGCGCAAGAUUUCAUUUUCCAGCUCCAAUCUGAAUUUCCUUGACGUCCAGUUAGGAUCAUAAAUAAUCAACAACCCUUCAGGUAUCUGAUACGCUUUCUUGGCCAAUCCAUCAACAACACAAUUACUCAGCCUUCCUAUCCACGCUAACUCAUAUUUAUAUUUCUUCACAUUUUCAAUUUCUUUAUUUUCUAAUGGGUCAUGCAUGAGGAUAAGGUUGACUGCCCCUUCACUGUCCAUUAAGGCCCUCACUUUUGGGAAUUAGUACUUGUGGCAUAUGUUCACUCCUAGCAGGUGAGCCACACUCUCUGCCCUAAAACUGCUACACUUAUCCGAGCUUAUUUUGAGAAUGAAUGCACAUAUCAGUCCAUAUUGGUCCCUCAUCACGUGAGCGACUGUAGCCUUCUUUUUGUCCUUCUCCUCCGAGCCGUCCCUCAUCACGCCAGCAGCUGUAUUCUUCUUCUUGUCCCUUCUCCUUCGAGUCGUCUGUGUGCAUAAUGACUAGUUUCAAAACCUUGUAAGACUCAAAUUGGCGGGUGAGUUGUCUUGCCCCUUCAAUGGAAUUUCUGAACUGCCGGUAUUGAUCCACCAGCUAACGUCCAGAUAGGGACUGCUUAAUGAUGUCCAGGAUGAGUUUGUAUUUAUUGCCCCUUAAAUGGACAUCAUUAAGCGCUCCCUAUCUGGACGUUAGCUGGUGGAUCAAUACCGACGGUUCAAAAAUUCCAUUUAAGGGGCAAGGCAACGCCCCUGCCAAUUUGAGUCUUACAAGGUUUUGAAACUAGUCAUUAUACACACAGACGACUCGAAGGAGAAGGGACAAGAAGAAGGAUACAGCUGCUGGCGUGAUGAGGGACGGCUCGGAGGAGAAGGACAAAAAGAAGGCUACAGUCGCUCACGUGAUGAGGGACCAAUAUGGACGUCUGAUAUGUGCAUUCUUAAAAUAAGUGUAGCAGUUUUAGGGCAGAGAGUGUGGCUCACCUGUUGGGAGUGAACAUAUGCCACAAGUACUAAUUCCCAAAAGUGAGGGCCUUAAUGGACAGUGAAGGGGCAGUCAACCUUAUCCUCAUGCAUGACCCAUUAGAAAAUAAAGAAAUUGAUAAUGUGAAGAAAUAUAAAUAUGAGUUAGCGUGGAUAGGAAGGCUGAGUAAUUGUGUUGUUGAUGGAUUGGCCAAGAAAGCGUAUCAGAUACCUGAAGGGUUGUUGAUUAUCUAUGAUCCUAACUGGAUGUCAAGGAAAUUCAAAUUGGAGCUGGAAAAUGAAAUCUUGCGCUACAAGGAGGUGGAGUUCAGGUGGGAGCUACCUAGAGAGUUUAUGGAAUUGAUUGAAACAGAAGUUGAAGCUGAACCAAUGGGGAAGGGAGUGGUGAAGAUGAAUAGGGACAAAGAUUUCAUUGGAUGAAGCAAUGUUUUUUGAAUUCUACUGAUACUUUAAUUUAGGAAUGUUAUUUUCAAUUCUAUUAAGUAGUCUGCAAUGUUGUUUUGAAUUCGAUUAGGUACCACUCUAAUUUGUUAGCUAAGAACUACUCUAAUUUGUAUGUAAUUGUGGCUCAAUUGUGAAUGCAAUGUGAUGAAAGCCAGCUAUGAAUUUGAGGAUUUAUGAUGUUCUCCCUUCUUUUUAUAUUGUUCCCUAUAUGCUUGUAAUACUCUCUAUGUAAGAGUGUAGUUUUGUAUAGCUGCAGCAGUUGGUAAUGUUCAAGAUACAAACUCUAAAAUCAAGAUGUCGGUCUGGUUUUGGAACAUGCCUAAAAUGUGGUUUCUACACUCUAGGAGAAAUAAGAAAUUAGCAUGUCAGAGUUAGUGAUCAGGCAGUUAUGUGAUAAAACAGUUUUAUAGUGGUUAUUUAAUUAUGUAAUAGGGAAAUUUUAUGGUAGGGAAGUUAUUCAGCAGUUAUUUAAUUCUGUGGAGUAGUUAUAAGAAGAUUUUGUCACAGUUUCUACUUUCUGGUGUGCAUUCUGUUUUCUUUUGUAAAAGGCUGAGAAUUGUUCUCUCAUCUACCAGAUUUGUGUGUGUUACUUGGUGUGAAGUUUAAGAAGUUCAGUUUUAAAUCCUACCAUAGGCACAAGGGAGUGUCAUGCAAUCACAAUUCACUAAAUAGGAAAAUACUAUCUAUAGGUUUCAUUAAAUUUUCCUUUUAACUUGAAGCCUUGAACCACUUAUUUUUCCUCCAAAUGCACAAACAUCACACAUCAAUUCUUUAUUUAAAUUAUGUUUAUCAUCCUUCUUGGCCCCCUUUACCUUUUUAUAGGAAUAAAUAAAUACCCUUUACCUUUUUAUAGGAAUAAAUAAAUGCAUUAAAAAUAGAACAGAACAAUAUGAUAAAAUUGAAAUUAACCUUGGUUUUGCAAUAAUUACAUCCUUUGGGAUAUAAUAUAAUGGUCCAUCACCUGCAGUCCACUUACCACCAGCAGAAUUUGAGUCACACUAUGGACCUGUGUUAGUUUAUUGAAGAAAGAGGGUUGAUAAUUCGUUCAUAAAGAGAGAUGCUCGAUAAAAUCAUGGGAUUUAGAGAAAAGUAGGUAAGGUAAGUUUUGCCCCGUUGAGGUUGAGGUUUUUUCUGACUCAAAUAUCUCAUCUUAGUAUUAUUAGUUUUUUUUUUGUUACAGUAUUAUUAGAGUUUACAUGGGGUUUAUAGAAAAUAUUUAAAAAUUCUUAAUUUUAAAUUAAUUAUUUUGACUCAAUGAUAUGAGUUUACAUGGGGAUUUAGGGUGAUGUGGAAAAUUUUAGCACCGUCUAAUGCAGUGGGGUGGAAGGUCUUAAGUGAUCGUAUCCAGUCGAAGGCGAAUUUAAUUCGUCGGAAUAUCUCUUUUGCCUUUUGCUAUUUGCUCCUUUUGUUCUGCGCAGGUUGAAUCGACGAACCAUUCUUCACGUGCUCUCUUUCUUGGCUUAUUUGCUCCCUGUGUUAGCUAAGGAUCAUCUAAUUCAGUUUUCGUGGGCUAGUACUUUGAAGGUGAGAGAAGGUUUAUCAGUUGGCUUGCUGUCAUUUGGCAGAUUUGGAUAUGCAGAAAUGCUAACGCUUUAAGGCUUGGUUGUGGCUCAAGUCUCGUAGGAGACACUUUCAGUAUUCUUUAUCCGAAUGGUAUAGCAAUCCAGUGCUUGCUUGGAGGUGAUUUAGGUGUUUGAAGAGUGGGUUCUGCUAGUUGAUGUGCGGUGUUCAAUUCUUGUAAGCUUCUUGGGCGUAAGGUGCUGGUAUGUUUGCUUUGCUGGUGUUCUUUUUGGAUGGAGCAUUAUUUGGUGUUUUUCGCCUUGGUUAUUAGGGUGGGUCUGGAGAUGUAAUUUGUAACUUUUUGGCUAUGUUGUUUUCUCAUCUUGGUGGUUCCAUUUUGAUGUUAGUAAUUUGUACUCUUUUUCUUUUCUAGGUUUUCCCAAUGGGGUUUUUUUCUAGAGAGGUUUUAAUGAGGCCUUUUCCUAAUGUCUCUCCUCCAAGUUGGGGUUGGUUUUGUAGCCUUGAUGCAAUCUUGUAAUUUUCCUUUUAAUUCUCUCCUUCCUCUUGUA